rnacentral:rRNA from 1 species
GACAGAGGGUGCAAACGUUGUUCGGAAUUACUGGGCGUAAAGCGAGUGUAGGCGGUUCGCUAAGUCGGAUGUGAAAGCCCUGGGCUCAACCCAGGAAGUGCACUCGAAACUGGCGAGCUAGAGUACUGGAGAGGUUGGUGGAAUUCUCGGUGUAGAGGUGAAAUUCGUAGAUAUCGAGAGGAACACCGGUGGCGAAGGCGGCCAACUGGACAGAUACUGACGCUGAGACUCGAAAGCGUGGGGAGCAAACAGG